rnacentral:rRNA from 1 species
UACGAAGGGUGCAAACGUUGCUCGGAAUCAUUGGGCGUAAAGCGCACGUAGGCGGCUUUGCAAGUCAGAGGUGAAAGCCCGGGGCUCAACCCCGGAAUUGCCUUUGAGACUGCAUCGCUAGAAUUGUGGAGAGGUAAGUGGAAUUCCGAGUGUAGAGGUGAAAUUCGUAGAUAUUCGGAAGAACACCAGUGGCGAAGGCGACUUACUGGACACAUAUUGACGCUGAGGUGCGAAAGCGUGGGGAGCAAACAGG